AUGGGUGAUGUUGGAUGAUAUUGGAUGAUGUUGCAUUGGGUUUGGCGUUGUUAUAAUAUUUUUAUGCAGCAUUGUCCAACAAUGGUUGGAUCAACAAUGUUGGACGAUAUUGCACUCAUUAGAACGGGGCGUAUAAAACUUAUAUACAGUAUAACUACAUAAUUUGUAAUAGUCGUGCUAGAGAAAGCUAAUUCUUUGUUUAGACAUUUAUUUUCAUGCAGGGGGUUUGUGUGACGUCACAUGCUUAUACCUAUGAUAACAUUAUGAUUUUAAUGAGUUUCGUGUUCACUUCAGAAAACUUCGGAAAUUGCAGACAGAAACAACCAAUUUUCAGGUUCAAAUUAUUAAUCUUUUAAAAAUAGAUUAGUAUAAAUCUUUCCUGCCCGAUUAGAUAUAUUAAUUUAGAUUCGUUUCUAAAACAAUUAAUUAUUCUUAAAUGCACAGUAAAUGCGCCACUGUUUAUGUAAUCAUGCCGACAGAAAAGUACUUCAAAGUUCACCUAUUUACACACACUUCAUUGACAUGACAUGCAGGAAUGGGUGUUUGUCGAAAAGCCAGCACCUGCUGAUAAAUUAAGGAAAUAAAGUGUAAAACUCUAGAACUGAAAAUUGAAAACAUCUUGUAACGAGACGUAAGUUUAGAUGGUCAUAUUAAACAUAUGUCAAUCCUACAGUAUUGAUAUAUUAUAGCAUUUUGAUUGGGAAUAACAGGCAGCCCCACCUGUGGCCGGGAGAAAUCAUUCAUGAUAUUUGCACAAUAGAUUUUGCUACUUUUAAAUAUAUUAUAAAUAUGGAGUACAUGCUUUGCUUUGUAAACGGUUUGGUGUCUGAAUCUGAGAUUAAUU